AUUGAACGCUGGCGGAAUGCUUUACACAUGCAAGUCGAACGGCAGCACGGACUUCGGUCUGGUGGCGAGUGGCGAACGGGUGAGUAAUGUAUCGGAACGUGCCCAGUCGUGGGGGAUAACGUAGUGAAAAUUACGCUAAUACCGCAUACGAUCUAUGGAUGAAAGCGGGGGGUCGCAAGACCUCGCGCGAUUGGAGCGGCCGAUAUCAAAUUAGGUAGUUGGUGGGGUAAAGGCCCACCAAGCCAACGAUCUGUAGCUGGUCUGAGAGGACGACCAGCCACACUGGAACUGAGACACGGUCCAGACUCCUACGGGAGGCAGCAGUGGGGAAUUUCGGACAAUGGGCGAAAGCCUGAUCCAGCCAUUCCGCGUGCAGGAUGAAGGCCCUCGGGUUGUAAACUGCUUUUGUACAGAACGAAAAGGUUUCUACUAAUACUAGGAGCUCAUGACGGUACUGUAAGAAUAAGCACCGGCUAACUACGUGCAGCCGCCGCCGUAA
rnacentral:rRNA from 1 species